UUUUCAUUACCAUAUGACAUGGCUCAUCUGUGCUCAUCCUCGUGGUAACCAAGGGAGACACUGAGACUGGAAUUCAGUAUACCCUAAGUACCUGUUGUAAUUAUGUUUAGUGGAACAGUGCUUUCCGGAUUGAUACAGCACCGUGUAGGAGAACUGUCGGUACACGUUGGACUGCUAGGCAGGCUUACAUUUGGAAAUGAUCUUGAAGAUGAAUGAGACGUUUUAUUUUACAUGGUGACAAUGAAACGUCACAACAGGUUACAUCUGUGGUAGAGACAUUCAUUUAGUCUCUUUCAGCCUUCAUUUAGCUGUUCACUGAGCCUAUAUUGAACCCAUUCAUCAACGUAUACAAGCCCACCAGACAGACAGCCCUGCCCUGUUGUCUAAACCAAGACUGAUGAAGAACCUCCACUCACUGAAAUAACAUUUACUUUAAAGAUGUUUUGUUUUCCCCAUUCACCUAUGAUGUCCUUUACCAUGGUUUCUGUGUGUAAACUCAGAGACAGCCAGGUUGUUACUCUUCCUGAAAGUCAACCUAAAUAGAUUUAACAUUGUCAGUUUGCCACUUUAGUUUGGGCUGGUUCCGACCACUAGGUCCCACAAGCCUAGUGAAUUCAAUAGAACAACCUUCAACUGUCAUUUUGUUCCACUUCAUACCUAGUCUAUCCCUAAAUCUACCAGUGCCCUUAGGCAGAAUCCCAGCCUUUGCUGCUUCCAGGUUACAAUAUUCACCCAAAUAUGAUUGUUUUAGCAGGCUUUAUUUUCAGACCCAACAGGCAGACAACAGGCAUGGAUUCAUUCCUACUAGUGUGACAAGAAGCCUGCUUAAUUUGCUAUAGACAGACCCAUAGCUCUGUUUAAGUUGAAAUGUUAGUACUGAGGGGAGAGCUGGAUUUGACUAAAGAUGGAACAAUGUAUUUGCUUUUAUUAUGUAUUUUGAUGAGAUAUUUCUGGUAGUUUGUUAUAGGUCUCCCUAUGUCACAUACAUCUACAGUGCUGAACUGACUGAUUAGAAGCAGUCAUAGACUCGCCUCACUGGCACAAUGAAAUGACCAAUAUGCAACAUACAGAGACGAAUAAAGCACACACUACUACACGUUAAUUAGAAUUUUCAUUUUGGGUAAAGUCGGUGCUGAAAUGACGAAAAUUGAUUACAAGUUGUGGUCUGUUUGGUGGAAUAAGACGUUAUGUAGUGGGGAGGACAAGUUGUGGUCUGUGUAGUGGAAUAAUACGUUAUGUAGUGAGGAGGACAAGUUGUGGUCUGUGUAGUGGAAUAAGACGUUAUGUAGUGGGGAGGACAAGUUGUGGUCUGUGUAGUGGAAUAAUACGUUAUGUAGUGGGGAGGACAAGUUGUGGUCUGUUUGGUGGAAUAAGACGUUAUGUAGUGAGGAGGACAAGUUGUGGUCUGUGUAGUGGAAUAAUACGUUAUGUAGUGGGGAGGACAAGUUGUGGUCUGUGUAGUGGAAUAAUAUGUUGUGUAGUGGGGAGGACAAGUUGUGGUCUGUGUAGUGGAAUAAUAUGUUGUGUAGUGGGGAGAACAAGCACCUUAAAAAGUCGUGUAAUUUAUUGGAUUACUUUCUAUGAAGUUAUAUAGAGGAAAUUGAAGUUUAAUUAUUUUUAUUAAAC
ensembl:lncRNA